CCAUUGGUGCACGUCUUGGAGGGAAAACGCCCGCGUCGAUGAAGCAUAUUCGCGAGACGCUAAUUUUUCAGAGGCGAACUGGCGAACGCGUGUCCCCCACUACCCACCACUGUAUGACAGUGACCCAAAUGGAACGCCGACGCAGUCAGUUCCGUGAGCGCUCGCUGGUCUGCACGACGUCUAUGCGUGCGUACAGUGCAACCGGCCAUCCACUGACUGACGUUUAGUGCAGCUCGUGAACGGAUCAUUGUGCAAAUAUAAUAUGUGUGUGGCUUCGAUGGACAACUUAUUUCAAAUUAUCUGUGGAUUCGCGUAGAGCGAGAUCUGUUCUAAGAUCACGAAGGACGCAUACAAGACGGAGAUAAAUAUAAAUCAAUAGAAAACUGGCUAAGUAUGAUAGUACCUGGAAAAUUAAAGAAACCAAAAGCUAAA